rnacentral:rRNA from 1 species
UGGGGAAUAUUGCACAAUGGGCGCAAGCCUGAUGCAGCCAUGCCGCGUGUGUGAAGAAGGCCUUCGGGUUGUAAAGCACUUUCAGCGGGGAGGAAGGCGUUAAGGUUAAUAACCUUGGCGAUUGACGUUACCCGCAGAAGAAGCACCGGCUAACUCCGUGCCAGCAGCCGCGGUAAUACGGAGGGUGCAAGCGUUAAUCGGAAUUACUGGGCGUAAAGCGCACGCAGGCGGUUGAUUGAGUCAGAUGUGAAAUCCCCGGGCUUAACCCGGGAAUUGCAUCUGAUACUGGUCAGCUAGAGUCUUGUAGAGGGGGGUAGAAUUCCAUGUGUAGCGGUGAAAUGCGUAGAGAUGUGGAGGAAUACUGGUGGCGAAGGCGGCACCCUGGACAAAGACUGACGCUCAGGUGCGAAAGCGUGGGGAGCAAACAGG